rnacentral:rRNA from 1 species
AGGACGAACGCUGGCGGCGUGCUUAACACAUGCAAGUCGGACGGUGAUCCUUCUUCGGGGGGUGAUCAGUGGCGAACGGGUGAGUAACACGUGGGCAACCUGUCCCUGACUUCGGGAUAACUCCGGGAAACCGGGGCUAAUACCGGAUAUUCAUGUCUGCCUGCAUGGGUGGGUGUGGAAAGGCUUGUCUGGUCAGGGUUGGGCCCGCGGCCUAUCAGCUUGUUGGUGGGGUGAUGGCCUACCAAGGCGACGACGGGUA